rnacentral:rRNA from 1 species
CCCUUCGGGGUACACGAGCGGCGAACGGGUGAGUAACACGUGGGUGAUCUGCCUCGCACUUCGGGAUAAGCCUGGGAAACUGGGUCUAAUACCGGAUAUGACCUGUCGAUGCAUGCUGGGGGGUGGAAAGAUUUAUCGGUGCGAGAUGGGCCCGCGGCCUAUCAGCUUGUUGGCGGGGUAACGGCCCACCAAGGCGACGACGGGUAGCCGACCUGAGAGGGUGACCGGCCACACUGGGACUGAGACACGGCCCAGACUCCUACGGGAGGCAGCAGUGGGGAAUAUUGCACAAUGGGCGAAAGCCUGAUGCAGCGACGCCGCGUGGAGGAUGACGGCCUUCGGGUUGUAAACUCCUUUCGACAGGGACGAAGCGCAAGUGACGGUACCUGUAGAAGAAGCACCGGCCAACUACGUGCCAGCAGCCGCGGUAAUACGUAGGGUGCGAGCGUUGUCCGGAAUUACUGGGCGUAAAGAGCUUGUAGGCGGUUUGUCGCGUCUUCUGUGAAAACUUGGGGCUCAACCUUAAGCUUGCAGGCGAUACGGGCAGACUAGAGUACUUCAGGGGAGACUGGAAUUCCUGGUGUAGCGGUGAAAUGCGCAGAUAUCAGGAGGAACACCGGUGGCGAAGGCGGGUCUCUGGGAAGUAACUGACGCUGAGAAGCGAAAGCAUGGGUAGCGAACAGGAUUAGAUACCCUGGUAGUCCAUGCCGUAAACGGUGGGUACUAGGUGUGGGUUUCCUUCCACGGGAUCCGUGCCGUAGCUAACGCAUUAAGUACCCCGCCUGGGGAGUACGGCCGCAAGGCUAAAACUCAAAGAAAUUGACGGGGGCCCGCACAAGCGGCGGAGCAUGUGGAUUAAUUCGAUGCAACGCGAAGAACCUUACCUGGGUUUGACAUACACCGGAAACCUGCAGAGAUGUAGGCCCCC